rnacentral:rRNA from 1 species
AAAGAUUAAGCCAUGCAUGUCUCAGUGCAAGCCGAAAUAAGGUGAAACCGCGAAAGGCUCAUUAAAUCAGCUAUGGUUCCUUAGAUGGUACGUACGGUUACUUGGAUAACUGUGGCAAUUCUAGAGCUAAUACAUGCAAACCGAGUUCCGACCGCUUUGCAGGCGGAAGGAAUGCUUUUAUUAGAUCAAAACCAAUCGGACUCCUCCGCGGGUCCGUCACGUCUUGGUGACUCUGAAUAACUUUGAGCUGAUCGCACGGUCCCGCACCGGCGACGCAUCUUUCAAAUGUCUGACUUAUCAACUUUCGAUGGUAGGCUCUGCGCCUACCAUGGUCGUAACGGGUAACGGGGAAUCAGGGUUCGAUUCCGGAAAGGGAGCCUGAGAAACGGCUACCACAUCCAAGGAAGGCAGCAGGCGCGCAAAUUACCCACUCCCGGCACGGGGAGGUAGUGACAAAAAAUAACGAUGCAGUACUCUUUCCGAGGCUCUGCA